rnacentral:tRNA from 1 species
UAUUCCCACAUGGAUUAUAACCAUGACUAAUGAUAUGAAAAACCAUUGUUGUAUUUCAACUAUAAGAAU